rnacentral:rRNA from 1 species
UACAGAGGGUGCGAGCGUUAAUCGGAAUUACUGGGCGUAAAGCGUGCGUAGACGGUUAUUUAAGUCGGGUGUGAAAGCCCCGGGCUCAACCUGGGAAUUGCAUUCGAGACUGAAUAGCUAGGGUACGGUAGAGGGGAAGUGGAAUUUCCGGUGUAGCGGUGAAAUGCGUAGAUAUCGGGAGGAACACCAGUGGCGAAGGCGACUUUCUGGCCUGUUCUUGACGCUGAGGCGCGAAAGCUAGGGGAGCAAACGGGG